rnacentral:lncRNA from 1 species
GAUGUUGACAUGAUGUAUAGUAUGGAUUUUGUUUUCAGGUAGGAAAAUUGGAUGUGGGUCUAGGAUUGAAACAAAAAUAUGUAUCGUCACUAGUACAGAAGUGGUAACAAAUUCAAAAUGAAAUCAAAUGACGGCUGUGUCAUCGCUCGCCCAUUUCUUUUUUUAGAUUGAUUUCUAAAUCCUUAGUCUUACCAAUUAAAAUAUUAACAAUAUGUUUGUAAAUUAUGUAAUUACUUUUAGAAAUAUAUUAUUAUAUACAUAUAUUUUAAAUUAGUUAAAUUUUAAAUAUGUAUUGAAUCAUUACAAUGUGUAAAAUCAGUUAUUGAAAGGAUGUCACUGCACUCAUUUUUUUACAUUAACACCUAGUAUCAAAGAAUCACUUUAAUUGAAAAUUAGUUUGAUUGAGCAUAAACUUACUUUCAUUUUAAGACAAAAAUCUAAUCUAAAGCUUAACAUAUUGGUAUUUACUCAACAGAAAGAUCUAACCUGCGCUUAGAUUCAAAGAGACUUACCUUAUACUAUUGGAUAGAGAAAAAUGUGUUUCUCCAAAGUGUAACUGGAAAAACAGCUGUGACCAUUAUAUAAUUAACAAUUUGAAUUUUAAGUUUGCGGUAUAAACAACAAUUUUCAUUUUGUCAGCCCUGCUAAGGAAUAUUUGUACUUAAAAAAUUGAUAUGUCAAGCCCUAGAUAAUAUUGAUGUCUACAAUAUUUUUAUAGAAGGAGUUUUUGCUCUAAAAUCAUUCUUGAAUAAUAUUUGACCAUUCUGAAUGUUUUUAUCAAUUUUUGUAUAAUUUCAGAAUCAGGCAACAAUCAAUACUAUGCAUAUAUAGGACCUCUUCUAAAUUACUUUAAAAUAGUAUUUACAUACAUUUCAAUUUUUAUGCAAAUUUUUUAGAUUGCUUACAUCAAACCACAUGAAUAAUGAUUGCACCUGACAUCCUUUCAAUGCAAAUUAGUAAGAAAUUAUUGAACAAUGUUUGAUGUUGAACAUUAAAUAGGCCACAUAAGAUUUACUUUAUAACAUGCGUUGUUUAGUGGUAAUAUAAUGUAUACAACUCAAAUUUGUAUGCAUACAAUCAAUCUCAAUGCUUUGAUUUUUGAAAUUAUGAAAUUCAAACGCAGACUUAUUCUAAAUUAUGAAGCAUUAAUUUAUCGAAGAAUUCAAUAAUUUUAGUUUUAUCCUUGUAUAUCGGUUGUUAUAUUUUUUUAAUUUAGCAUAAAAUAAUAUAAUAAUUAUCUGAACAGACAUGUUGCAAUAAUAUGAACCAUUAUAUCACUAAUUAAAUGAUACAUUGACAAUUUUUCAUGCAAUUAGUUGUUCAAUUCAUAAAAUGAUUAGUAGAGGUUAUCUAAUGUACAUGUUGUAAUAUUAUGUACUUUAAUACGAGUUUUAAUUGGUUCUGUACCUUUGUAAAUAUUAAAAAUCAAGUUUUCAAAAUGUAAAUAAUGUUGUUAAAAUAAGGUAUAAAUUAUAAAGUAAAUAUCACAUUUUAUUAUUAAACAAAUCGCCAUUGAUAACACUAGAAUACUGCAUUAGUUUCUCGUCAUCAAUCAAGUAAUAGUUUUAUUUUUACACUUUAUUUGUUAUUGUUUACAAAAUUAUACAUAAUAUUUAUGGGAUAGAAUAAAAAGAGUAAGUUGGUAUUGUCGGUUUAAAAUGCCAACUCGAUAUGAUUCUAACUUUGUUCAAUUUGUUUAUUUAAUAUUCUGUGUAUUAUGUUCAUAACUUCUCAAAAUACUUAUGUAAGCGCCACUUUAAAAUGCGAAUUUGGAAGAUGCUAUCUUAGUGCACACUUACAUGGUAGUAUGAAGGUACCAUAAAAAUUGCAAGCCUCAAGCUAUCAUUUAGGAUCUACGUUGAUCAGUCAAUGAGUCACGUUCGAUUAUAUUAUUAUCUUAUGGCCAUCCCGCCCCCUUGCGUAGCCCGUGAGACUCACUGCGUCUUGUGAUCACAAAUUAAAAUAUACUUAUUAUAUUACACUUGUCACUUACUAUAUUUUAAUUUGUAUUUGUGAUUAUGAGAACAAUAUUUUUCAGGCAGGCAAUUCACCUGCGGUAGAUUGCAGACCCCUCAAGGGGCAUACGUAAUUACGAAGGUAUUGUUUAUGAUGUGCAUGUGUAGGUUUCCUGGACAAGUGGACAACGGUCGAAAAAUUUGUCUUGGGAAUACCAUUUUUACUAAGGUUUAUAACCUUGACCAAAUAUAAUAUAGGACAGCUGGAUUCCAGUUUCCUACUUUUCCGGUGGAUUUUCAAAAAAUGUUCUUUCAUACAAACCUUGUCCCGACAAUUACAAAUACAACAACAAAAAAAAAAACAGUAAAAUCGGUCGAG